rnacentral:rRNA from 1 species
GGCCAGCAGCCGCGGUAAAACGUAGGACGCAAGCGUUAUCCGGAGUUACUGGGCGUAAAGCGCGGGCAGGCGGCCCUGUAAGUCUGAUGUGAAAGCGCCCGGCUCAACCGGGCGAGGCCAUUGGAAACUUCAGGGCUGGAGGGCAGUAGAGGCAGGCGGAAUUCCGGGUGGAGUGGUGAAAUGCGUAGAGAUCCGGAGGAACACCAGAGGCGAAGGCGGCCUGCUGGGCUGCACCUGACGCUGAGCCGCGAAAGCUAGGGGAGCGAACGGGAUUAGAAACCCCGGUAGUCCUAGCCGUAAACGAUGUGUGCUGGAUGAUGGCGCGAAUGCGUCGUUGUCGAAGCUAACGCGAUAAGCACACCGCCUGGGGAGUACGGUCGCAAGGCUAAAACUCAAAGGAAUUGACGGGGGCCCGCACA